GACGAACGCUGGCGGCGUGCUUAACACAUGCAAGUCGAACGGAAAGGCCCUGCUUUUGUGGGGUGCUCGAGUGGCGAACGGUUGAGUAACACGUGAUUAACCUGCCCUUGACUUUGGGUUAACUUCAGGAAACUGGGGCUAAUACCGGAUAGGAGCUCCUGCUGCAUGGUGGGGGUUGGAAAGUUUCGGCGGUUGGGGAUGGACUCGCGGCUUAUCAGCUUGUUGGUGGGGUAGUGGCUUACCAAGGCUUUGACGGGUAGCCGGCCUGAGAGGGUGACCGGCCACAUUGGGACUGAGAUACGGCCCAGACUCCUACGGGAGGCAGCAGUGGGGAAUAUUGCACAAUGGGCGGAAGCCUGAUGCAGCAACGCCGCGUGCGGGAUGACGGCCUUCGGGUUGUAAACCGCUUUCGCCUGUGACGAAGCGUGAGUGACGGUAAUGGGUAAAGAAGCACCGGCUAACUACGUG
rnacentral:rRNA from 1 species